rnacentral:lncRNA from 14 species
AGACCCUGCAGGCCAGGGGAGGAGCGGAACCAGACAGCAACAGUCCCCACAAUGAGAAACCCAGGCUGGGCAAUGCCAGCAGCUGCCCUGCUGCAGGGUAAGGGGGCACUGGCUGGGGUCCCAGCCCUCCUGCUCCAUUAUGGGGAUGCAGGUGACAAUGGGACUCCUGCCCUGUCUGCAGCGGGCUGCUCCAGCGCCAUGUCCCGACACCCAAUGCCUACAUGGACGAUCCCUUUGGGCAGCUCCCACCAGCUGAGGCUCCCAAGCAUCUCUACUCCAACAUGGAGCGGCUGCAGCAGCUGCAGCAGAGCUUGGACCGAGCAGUGCAAGGGCAGCACAGGAGGCCCAUGUCUGCGCUGCCCAUGGGUGCCUGCAGCAGCACCCUGCAGUCAGGUGAGCAGGGGCUGGGUGCUCCAUGCCAGGGGCAAGGGGACACCCCCAUGAACCCCAGCCCCAUGUGCUGGGAUGGAGGCCCCCAAGCACAGUGUUGUGCCAUGGUUCCUCUGCCCUUCCUCCUGAGCAUCCUUCCUCCCCAGCACCAGCAGCAGCUCCCCGGAGCAGGGCAGCCAGCCCGCAGUGGGUGAAGGUGAGCUCCAACCUCUGGAGCAAGGAUCUCUCCCAGUCCCAGCGCACCCUGACUCUGCCAGAGAGGAAGGGAACUCGGGAUGGGCUGGAUAUCCUCAUCGGGAAAAGAGCCUUCCCGAAGCUGGAGGAGAAGGGGGGGCAGCUGGAGAGGACCUGCCGCAUGAAGGGCAGGCUGAAAGCCGGCUCCGAGAUGAACCUGUUGGCCAUCGGCACGUCCCUCAAGGGCCACAUCGCUGCCACCGGCGGCUCGGCCGGCUCCGAGGUGGGGACACCGGGGAGGGCAGGGAUGCGGGGGGGGCCGGGGGCAGGCAUUGCCCCCUCCGCUCUUCCAGCAGGGCUCUGUCCUGGCGCCGCUGCUGAAGCGGACGGCAUCGGCUCGGAGCGCCCUGAGGUCACCGCCGUCCCCGCUCGUGGUGGAGAGGGGAAGUGUGCGGCAGAAGAGAAAGGUACCGGAGGGGGGGAGCCGGGGGGAGCCGGGGGGGGGGCCGGGGAGGAGCCGGGUACCGGCCGUGCACCGGGGCUGACCGCUCCUCUCCGCUGCUCCCCAGGAGUGGGAGAUGAAGUCUGCGAUGUGACCGGCGCCGCAGCAGCUUCAGGGCACCCCUCAGCUGAACGGGGGCUGCACGUGGACCGUGCAGGACCCGCCUGGUGCCUGGGUUUAACCAUCAGUAUCAACGCUACAACUACGCACAUCUAUUUUUUAUAUAGAUAUAUAUAUAUACAUACAAACUGUCCAUCUGUGGGUUUGGGUUUCCCUGGAAUGGCUGGAGGGGGUGAGCCCCUCACAGCGUCACCCCCUUCUCACCCAUCCCAACACCUUGGGUUUAGGGCACAAAUUUCCCCAUUGCAACCUCACGAGCUGCUGGUUCUGUCCCUAACGUGGGUCCAGAGCAUCAGCAGCACCCCCAGAGACCCCUGUCACGGGUACACCCGGACCAAGCAUCCAGGGGACACACACGGAGUGAUGGGGGUGCUUGUGGCACUCAACUGCACCUUCCUGGAGCCGGCAGGACCCAGGCUGGGCCCUGGGCUGCUCCCCAUUGCUGUGCUCGUCACGGCUCCAGGUCCAUUGUGGGAAUCCGGGGGGUUAAGGAUUGAAAUGGCGAUAAUAACAAUCAACCCUAAAGGUUGGCUUGUUCCGGGCUGUGCUGGG